GAGGCGGCUUGGCAAGUCAGUUGUGAAAGCCCGGGGCCCAACCCCGGAACUGCAUCUGAAACUGCUUGGCUCGAGUCCCGGAGAGGAAGGCAGAAUUCCCGGUGUAGGGGUGAAAUCCGUAGAUAUCGGGAGGAAUACCAGCGGCGAAGGCGGCCUUCUGGACGGUGACUGACGCUGAGACGCGAAAGCGUGGGGAGCAAACA
rnacentral:rRNA from 1 species